CGCACAUUGCGCCCUUUGGUAUUCCGAGGGGCAUGUCUGUUCGAGCGUCAUUUCAACCCUCAAGCUUCUGCUUGGUAUUGGGCUUCAUCCGCCUAAGGAUGUGCCUAAAACUCAUUGGCGGUUGCACUUAGCUCCCUUGCGUAGUUAUUUUUUCUCGCUCUGGAAGUUUAGGUGUGACCCGCCUAAUAACCUUUUAUUAUUUCAAGGUUUGACCUCGGAUCAGAUAGGGAUACCCGCUGAACUUAA
rnacentral:misc_RNA from 1 species